UUGUAUAUAGCUCAGUGGUAGAGUAUAUACUUUGCAUGUAUGAAGCUUUGGGUUUGAUCCCUAGAAUUUAAA
rnacentral:tRNA from 1 species